rnacentral:lncRNA from 1 species
CUACCCUGAUCAGGGAGUCUGGGGAAGGCAUCCCUGAAGAAGUGAUCAUUGAGCUGAGCUCUAAAGGAUGGGUAGGAGUUAAUUAGGCAGCUAUGGGUAGGAGAGCCUUCCAUACAGAAGGAAGAACGUCUGCAAACCCUGUGGCCACAGGAAGCAUGGUACCUACUAGGACCUGAAGGAAGCCCUGUGUCCAGGAAGAUCAGAGUUGGAGGAAGGAGGAGGGGUAUAGCAGAUGAAGACAGAGAGGUGGUGUGGGUCAGAUACUGCUUUAGUUCAUUUCAUCCUGCUGCAACUAUAUCACAGACUGGGCAAUUUAUAAUGAAUAACAAUUUAUCUGGCUCACGGUUCUGGAGGCUGGAGGCCAAACUAACUUUUAUUUUAUUUAUUUAUUUAUUUAUUUUGAGAUGGAGUCUCGCUCUGUCGCCCAGGCUGCAGUGCAGUGGCACCAUCUUGGCUCACUGCAACCUCCGCCUCCCGGGUUCAAGCAUUUCUCCUGCUUCACCCUUCCCAGUAGCUGGGAUUACAGGUGUGUGCCACCACGCCCAGCUAAUUUUUUGUAUUUUUAGUAGAGACGGGGUUUCACAGUGUUAGCCAGGAUGGUCUCAAUCUCCUGACGUUGUGAUCCACCUGCCUCGGCUUCCCAAAGUGCUGGGAUUACAGGUGUGAGCCACCACUCCCAGCCCCCAAACUCACUUUUGUAACAAAUCCACUUGUGAUAACUAACACACUCCUGUGAUAACAACAUUUAGUCAUUUUUAUUCACCUCUUACUAGGCCCCGUCUUCCAACACUGUUGCAUUGGGGAUUAAGCUUCUGGCACAUUAACUUUAGGGGAUGCAUUUAAAGCACAGCAGAUAUCAAGAGCAAGAUAUUAGGGCCUUGUAGGUCUCAGUAAUGAUAGUUAUCUUUAUCCCAGAACAAUGAAAAACCAUUAAGAUACAAGGUUCUGCAG